rnacentral:rRNA from 1 species
AACAGACGAGGAGCUUGCUCCUCUGAUGUUAGCGGCGGACGGGUGAGUAACACGUGGAUAACCUACCUAUAAGACUGGGAUAACUUCGGGAAACCGGAGCUAAUACCGGAUAACAUGUUGAACCGCAUGGUUCAACAGUGAAAGACGGUCUUGCUGUCACUUAUAGAUGGAUCCGCGCCGCAUUAGCUAGUUGGUAAGGUAACGGCUUACCAAGGCAACGAUGCGUAGCCGACCUGAGAGGGUGAUCGGCCACACUGGAACUGAGACACGGUCCAGACUCCUACGGGAGGCAGCAGUAGGGAAUCUUCCGCAAUGGGCGAAAGCCUGACGGAGCAACGCCGCGUGAGUGAAGAAGGUCUUCGGAUCGUAAAACUCUGUUAUUAGGGAAGAACAAAUGUGUAAGUAACUAUGCACGUCUUGACGGUACCUAAUCAGAAAGCCACGGCUAACUACGUGCCAGCAGCCGCGGUAAUACGUAGGUGGCAAGCGUUAUCCGGAAUUAUUGGGCGUAAAGCGCGCGUAGGCGGUUUUUUAAGUCUGAUGUGAAAGCCCACGGCUCAACCGUGGAGGGUCAUUGGAAACUGGAAAACUUGAGUGCAGAAGAGGAAAGUGGAAUUCCAUGUGUAGCGGUGAAAUGCGCAGAGAUAUGGAGGAACACCAGUGGCGAAGGCGACUUUCUGGUCU